rnacentral:rRNA from 1 species
AAUUCGAUGCAACGCGAAAACCUUACCCACCUUUGACAUGGCAGGAAUCCUAAGAGAUUUGGGAGUGCUCGAAAGAGAACCUGCACACAGGUGCUGCAUGGCUGUCGUCAGCUCGUGUCGUGAGAUGUUCGGGUUAAGUCCCGCAACGAGCGCAACCCUUGCCAUUAGUUGCUACGAAAGGGCACUCUAAUGGGACUGCCGGUGACAAACCGGAGGAAAUGGGGAUGACGUCAAGUCCUCAUGGCCCUUAUAGGUGGGGCUACACACGUCAUACAAUGGCCGGUACAGAGGGUAGCCAACCCGCGAGGGGGAGCCAAUCCCACAAAGCCGGUCGUAGUCCGGAUCGCAGUCUGCAACUCGACUGCGUGAAGUCGGAAUCGCUAGUAAUCGCGGAUCAGCAUGUCGCGGUGAAUACCGUUCCCGGGUCUU